GACAGAGGUGCCGAGCGUUAGGCGGAAUCACUGGGCUUAAAGCGUGUGUAGGUGGAUGCCUAAGUACCUUGUGAAAUCCCACGGCUUAACCGUGGAACGGCUUGGUAUACUGGGUGUCUUGAGCCAGCUAGGGGCUACCGGAACAAACGGUGGAGCGGUGAAAUGCGUAGAUAUCGUUUGGAACGCCAAUGGUGAAAACAGGUAGCUGGGGCUGUGCUGACACUGAGACACGAAAGCCAGGGGAGCGAACGGG
rnacentral:rRNA from 1 species